rnacentral:rRNA from 1 species
ACACCCAUCAACGCCCGGGUAUUACGAGCCCCAGCUUAAAACCCAAAGGACUUGACGGUGUCCCACCCACCUAGAGGAGCCUGUUCUAUAAUCGAUAAUCCCCGCUAAACCCAACCUCCCCUUGCCAAUCAGCCUGUAUACCUCCGUCGUAAGCUUACCAUAUGAGUGCCCUCAGUAAGCCUAAUGGCCGUAAAACACCAAUACGUCAGGUCAAGGUGCAGCUCAUGGAGAGGUAAGCAAUGGGCUACAAUUUCUAAUCUAGAACAAACAAAACACUGCAUGAAACUCAGCUAUGAAGGCGGAUUUAGUAGUAAAAAGAAAGUAGCGUGUUCUUUUUAACUAGGCCCUGGGACGUGUACACACCGCCCGUCACCC